rnacentral:rRNA from 1 species
GAUGAACGCUGGCGGCGUGCCUAAUACAUGCAAGUCGAGCGAACAGACGAGAAGCUUGCUUUUCUGAUGUUAGCGGCGGACGGGUGAGUAACACGUGGAUAACCUACCUAUAAGACUGGGAUAACUUCGGGAAACCGGAGCUAAUACCGGAUAAUAUUUUGAACCGCAUGGUUCAAUAGUGAAAGACGGUCUUGCUGUCACUUAUAGAUGGAUCCGCGCUGCAUUAGCUAGUUGGUAAGGUAACGGCUUACCAAGGCAACGAUGCAUAGCCGACCUGAGAGGGUGAUCGGCCACACUGGAACUGAGACACGGCCCAGACUCCUACGGGAGGCAGCAGUAGGGAAUCUUCCGCAAUGGGCGAAAGCCUGACGGAGCAACGCCGCGUGAGUGAUGAAGGUCUUCGGAUCGUAAAACUCUGUUAUUAGGGAAGAACAUAUGUGUAAGUAACUGUGCACAUCUUGACGGUACCUAAUCAGAAAGCCACGGCUAACUACGUG